UACAGAGGUCUCAAGCGUUGUUCGGAUUCAUUGGGCGUAAAGGGUGCGUAGGCGGCUCGGUAAGUCGGGUGUGAAAUCUCGGAGCUUAACUCCGAAACUGCAUUCGAUACUGCCGUGCUUGAGGACUGGAGAGGAGACUGGAAUUUACGGUGUAGCGGUGAAAUGCGUAGAUAUCUGGAGGAACACCGGUGGCGAAGGCGGCAUCCUGGACCACAACUGACGCUGAGGAGCGAAAGCCAGGGGAGCAAACGGG
rnacentral:rRNA from 1 species